GACGAACGCUGGCGGCGUGCUUAACACAUGCAAGUCGAACGGAAAGGCCCUGCUUUUGUGGGGUGCUCGAGUGGCGAACGGGUGAGUAACACGUGAGUAACCUGCCCUUGACUUUGGGAUAACUUCAGGAAACUGGGGCUAAUACCGGAUAGGAGCUCCUGCUGCAUGGUGGGGGUUGGAAAGUUUCGGCGGUUGGGGAUGGACUCGCGGCUUAUCAGCUUGUUGGUGGGGUAGUGGCUUACCAAGGCUUUGACGGCUAGCCGGCAUGAGAGGGUGACCGGCCACAUGGGGACUGAGAUAGGGCCCAGAAGCGUACGGGAGGCAGCAGGGGGGAAUAUUGCACAAUGGGCGGAAGCCUGAUGCAGCAACGCCGCGUGCGGGAUGACGGCCUUCGGGUUGUAAACAGAUUUCGCCUGAGACGAAGCGUGAGUGACGGUAAUGGGUAAAGAAGCAACGGCUAACUACGUG
rnacentral:rRNA from 1 species